rnacentral:tRNA from 1 species
GGGCGGUUGGCGCAGUGGUAGCGCGCUUCCCUGACACGGAAGAGGUCGGCGGUUCGAAACCGCCAUCGCCCACCA